GUAUAGCUCAGUCAGUAGAGCAUGAGACUCUUAAUUUCAAAGGCAUGUGUUUGAAUCCCACUUUGGCCA